GGGCUGCAUUGAAUUGGGGUGGUGGCUGAGUCUGGUACAUCCAAGAUAGCUUGUCUCAUAUAUCUAGCAGUUGGUGCUGGCUGUUGACUAGGUUUUCUUGAUUUAUCUUUCUCUAGGCUUGAUAAGGAAGAAAUGGAAGCUACAGUCUCUUUAAGCCUAGCUUUGGGCUGGGUGCUUAUUUAAGCCUUGCUUUGGGCUGAGUGGCUUAUACCUGUAAUUCCAGCAUUUUGGGAGGCUGAGGUGGGCAGACUGCUUGAGCCCAGGAAUUUGAGACCAGCCUGGGCAACAUGGCGAAACCCUGUCUCUACAAAAAAUACACAAAGUGAAUAUGUUUUUAGGCUAAGUGAUGGAACCAGUGGAGAAGAAAAAAUUGGAACUGUAGGAGAAGGAGGAAAACUGAUGAAACAAGAACCUGAAGUAAAGAACUGAGUGGGCUCAAAAGGGCAAAAGGAGACUUCAGCAUUGGGCAAAAAGAGGUUCUCGUCUUUCUCAAAGGCAAAAAGUAAGAAGAGAUGUUGUGGUGUACACACCGCUCUUAAGCAAGUGAAAGCAUUCCUGCUUGCAAUUUACAGCAAUCUAUUAAUUCUCAGCAAAAAUGGAAAGUGGAUCAACAUCUUCCUCCACUAUUAAAAUAACAACAGAAAUACAAUCCUAUUGACUAUUUUUUUAUUUCUCUCUUACCGUGUGAAUGUCCCAGGUCUUUUGUAAAAAUUAUCUUUUGUUUGAAAGAUCUA
rnacentral:lncRNA from 1 species